rnacentral:rRNA from 1 species
GAUGAACGCUGGCGGCGUGCCUAAUACAUGCAAGUCGAGCGAACGGACGAGAAGCUUGCUUCUCUGAUGUUAGCGGCGGACGGGUGAGUAACACGUGGAUAACCUACCUAUAAGACUGGGAUAACUUCGGGAAACCGGAGCUAAUACCGGAUAAUAUUUUGAACCGCAUGGUUCAAAAGUGAAAGACGGUCUUGCUGUCACUUAUAGAUGGAUCCGCGCUGCAUUAGCUAGUUGGUAAGGUAACGGCUUACCAAGGCAACGAUGCAUAGCCGACCUGAGAGGGUGAUCGGCCACACUGGAACUGAGACACGGUCCAGACUCCUACGGGAGGCAGCAGUAGGGAAUCUUCCGCAAUGGGCGAAAGCCCGACGGAGCAACGCCGCGUGAGUGAUGAAGGUCUUCGGAUCGUAAAACUCUGUUAUUAGGGAAGAACAUAUGUGUAAGUAACUGUGCACAUCUUGACGGUACCUAAUCAGAAAGCCACGGCUAUCUACGUG